AGCAACCGCGGUAAUUCCAGCUCCAAUAGCGUAUAUUAAAGUUGUUGCAGUUAAAAAGCUCGUAGUUGAAUUUCGGGGUUAGUAGGUUGGUCAUGCCUCUGGUAUGUACUGGUCUCACUGAUUCCUCCUUCCUGAUGAACCUUAAUGCCAUUAAUUUGGUGUUUUGGGGAAUUUGGACUGUUACUUUGAAAAAAUUAGAGUGUUUAAAGCAAGCUAACGCUUGAAUACAUUAGCAUGGAAUAAUGAAAUAGGACGUUCGAUCCUAUUUUGUUGGUUUCUAGGAUUGACGUAAUGAUUAAUAGGGAUAGUUGGGGGCAUUAGUAUUCAAUUGUCAGAGGUGAAAUUCUUGGAUUUAUUGAAGACUAACUACUGCGAAAGCAUUUGCCAAGGAUGUUUUCAUUAAUCAAGAACGAAAGUUAGGGGAUCGAAGACGAUCAGAUACCGUCGUAGUCUUAACCAUAAACAUGCCGACUAGGGAUCGGAUGAUGUUAAUUUUUAAUGACUCAUUCGGCGCCUUACG
rnacentral:rRNA from 1 species